AUUGAACGCUGGCGGCAGGCCUAACACAUGCAAGUCGAGCGAUCGGCUGACAGGUGAGUAAUACAUGUGGACUGCCCGAUCGAGGGGGAUAACUACUGGAAACGGCGGCUAAUACCGCCUACCGUCGGAUAACCUCUAUGGGAUUAGCUAGUAGGUAAGUUACUGGCUUACCUAGGCGACGAUCCCUAGCUGGUCUGAGAGGAUGAUCAGCCAAACUGGGACUGAGACACGGCCCAGACUCCUACGGAGGAAGCAGUGGGGAAUAUUGCACAAUGGGCGCAAGCCUGAUGCAGCCAUGCCGCGUGGAUGAAGAAGGCCCUAGGGUUGUAAAGUACUUUCAGUCGGGAGGCGUUACCGACAGAAGAAGCACCGGCUAACUCCGUGCCAGCAGCCGCGGUAAUUC
rnacentral:rRNA from 1 species